UGGGAUAACUCCGGGAAACCGGGGCUAAUACCGGAUGGUUGUUUGAACCGCAUGGUUCAGACAUAAAAGGUGGCUUCGGCUACCACUUACAGAUGGACCCGCGGCGCAUUAGCUAGUUGGUGAGGUAACGGCUCACCAAGGCAACGAUGCGUAGCCGACCUGAGAGGGUGAUCGGCCACACUGGGACUGAGACACGGCCCAGACUCCUACGGGAGGCAGCAGUAGGGAAUCUUCCGCAAUGGACGAAAGUCUGACGGAGCAACGCCGCGUGAGUGAUGAAGGUUUUCGGAUCGUAAAGCUCUGUUGUUAGGGAAGAACAAGUGCCGUUCAAAUAGGGCGGCACCUUGACGGUACCUAACCAGAAAGCCACGGCUAACUACGUGCCAGCAGCCGCGGUAAUACGUAGGUGGCAAGCGUUGUCCGGAAUUAUUGGGCGUAAAGGGCUCGCAGGCGGUUUCUUAAGUCUGAUGUGAAAGCCCCCGGCUCAACCGGGGAGGGUCAUUGGAAACUGGGGAACUUGAGUGCAGAAGAGGAGAGUGGAAUUCCACGUGUAGCGGUGAAAUGCGUAGAGAUGUGGAGGAACACCAGUGGCGAAGGCGACUCUCUGGUCUGUAACUGACGCUGAGGAGCGAAAGCGUGGGGAGCGAACAGGAUUAGAUACCCUGGGUAGUCCACGCCGUAAACGAUGAGUGCUAAGUGUUAGGGGGGUUUCCGCCCCUUAGUGCUGCAGCUAACGCAUUAAGCACUCCGCCUGGGAGUACGGGUCGCAAGACUGAAACUCAAAGGAAAUUGACGGGGGGCCCGCACAAGCGGGUGGAGCAUGUGCUUAAUUUCGAAGCAACGCGAAGGAUCUUUACAGGUCUUGAACAUCCUCUGACAUUCCUAGAGAUAGGACGUUCCCCUUCGGGGGCAGAG
rnacentral:rRNA from 1 species